UACGAAGGGGGCUAGCGUUGCUCGGAAUUACUGGGCGUAAAGCGCACGUAGGCGGCUUUCUAAGUCGGGGGUGAAAUCCUGGAGCUCAACUCCAGAACUGCCUUCGAUACUGGAGAGCUUGAGUCCGGGAGAGGUGAGUGGAACUGCGAGUGUAGAGGUGAAAUUCGUAGAUAUUCGCAAGAACACCAGUGGCGAAGGCGGCUCACUGGCUCGGUACUGACGCUGAGGUGCGAAAGUGUGGGGAGCAAACGGG
rnacentral:rRNA from 1 species